GGUAUAUCUCAGUGGGAGGAGUUUAGUGACAGGUGUGUCCCUUUCUUUCGCAGCCACAGAAACCAAGAGCAUACCUGUGAAGAGAGAGAGAGAGGCAGAGAGAGGGAAAGAUAGAUUGGAGAGAUAGAAAAGGAAACCGAAUAAAGAAGAUGUUAUGAACGUGUUAUUGAAAAGAGCAACAUUUCAAGAGAAAUAAGUGAAAACAGAAAGAAUAAGGAAGAACCACGGAUUGUUUUCUCUCGCUCGACCGGAAGUAAGCUUAACUUCGACCGAGUGGAUUUAAUUGUAGAAAGUAACCAUUUAAACGAUCUACAUGGUUUAAAUAUUGCCCUUUCCUUUCACCUAAGAGAAGAGGACUUGCACCACCGGAGGAAACUAGAGGACAACAGAACGAGGGAAUUCCGGUAGUUUAGUAGGAUUAUCUGGCGGUUUCGGGCCAGAGGUGACGUCACCACGUCAACGCCAGGAAACACAGUUUCCUCAACUGUAAACUUUGGAGGGUGUGACUUUUCGGCCUUUAAACAAAGCCAUCAAAAUGUCAGGCAUCAGCGUUUCAUUGGACAACCCCUAUGGAGAUGUGACCAUUCCACGAGCCAAGCUCCGUGGUGACCAGAGCCUGGUGAUUGGGAACCCUGUGGCCCUGGGCAACCCCUAUGCUAAGACAGAGGGUGGUGAGGCACAAGCCCCGCUCCCUUACAAUGUCAAGUUGGCGGAGCCAGAAGAGGAGAUGCGUUGCCGUGCCUGUUGCUACCGUUGUCGCCGUCGGAAACAGUGAUGGAGAGAGUGGAGGAGCUAUGGACAGAAGAGGAGUAGAGAUGGAGAGGGAAGGAGGAGAGGAGGAGAGGGAUGAUGCAUAGAGCUGGCUUGACCAAUGAAGGCAGCUCCCGUUAGGGAGGCAGGGCUUCUGGUAUAUUUAAAAUCUGGGAGAAAUGUAAAGCUUUGAUGGUUUCUGACUUUCCUCUAUCUUUGUCACAGUUAAAACUGGUCUUACUGAGCUGAAACAUAGAAGUGUUUAUUUCAGUUUGGUUUCAUACAUCUUGAUCACAUAAUUUUUCCAUUUGUAUUUAAAUGUUGAACAUAUUAACUGACAUGUACAUGUAGCUCGAUUUCUACAUGUAUAUAUGUGUUAUAUUUGUCUGCUUAUUGAUGUAAAAGGUAUAAUGUAUGAUGGUAAAAUGUAUGAAUAUUAUAGAUCAGUCAUUGUGUCUUAGCCAAUCAGCAAUGCCCCCAUCCUCCUUAACCAAUGAGAAUAAUCAACCAAACAUGCCAUGAUAAGGCCCAUUCAAAAUAGGUCUUUGCCAAAUAUGAAUUAUAAUAAUAUGAAUUAUUAUAUGUAAUAUUAGUACUCUAUGAAUAUACAUGCUGUUACAUGUGUGCCAAUGCAUCUAUUCAUGGAGCAGACCAUAAAUUGUAUUACAUUUGCAUUUAUACGGUUAAAGCACCUAUGAUCAAAUAUUGUCGUGUUUAAAGUGUGCAAUAUUCGCCUUUUGUUAUGUGAAGGACUUAUUUAUGUAUGGUUGUGCCAACAUAGAACGUUAUUUUAUAUAUUUGAAUAGCAUUUUACUUUUAUCAAAUUGCUACCUGAAUUCAUAUUUAUGUAGGCCUGUAGUGAAACCUAAAAAAGCUUAUUCUAGAAUGUAGUAAUGUAAGUAUUUUAUGGAAUGCAAACGUUCUACAUUUUUACAUUUGUCCUGCUAUUGCUGUUUUCCUCUUUUUUUUCCGAUCUGUAUGUAAAAAUAAAGCAGAAUAGCAAAAAAUGUAUUCCUUUUGCAUUGUUAAAAGGUUUUAUUUAUAGCUGCUCUGUAAAGUAGCCUAUGUCUUGAGGCUGCCCAAAAUGAGAUUACGUAUAUUUUAACAAUAUAAUUAUAAAGUAAUCAUAUCAUAGGCUAUGAUAUGAUUAUUUUAUACAUAUAUUGUAUAAGGGGCAAUCUUGAAGUUUAGGGUUACGUUCGGUUUUGCAUCAUUUUUCCCAGAGAUACAAACUGUGUAUGUAUUCAUAUUUAUAAUGAAUCACUGGUUAUUCAAAUUAUUAGUUCAGACAGUAAAUCAUUUUACACAGAUAGAGAGAAAGAGAUGGAUGUAGAUGGAGGGAAAGAAAUAGACAGUGAUAGAGAGCGAUGGACAUAGGGUAGAGUGACAAAAGGUUGCUAGGCAACCACACUGCCGAAGUAACUUGAACGACAAGCUCAGA